CGAAAAAUUCAAGUCUCUCUGAGUCUCUGAGAGUCUCUAGAAGGCUCGCUGAGUCUUGCUGAGUCUCUCUGAAUCUUCCUGAGUCUCUCUGAGUCUCCAUUUUAAAGACCAGCAGACAAUCGUGUUUCACAUGGUCUCUUUGAGUCUCCCAGAGUCUCUCAUUCAGAGACUAUGAAAGACUCAGACUAUAAAAUUUCCCAGCAAACAUUAAGUCUCCCAACACGAGACUUAAAGAGACAACUUACAGACUGUAAAAUUUUUUAAGCAAACAUGUAGUCUUUCAACACGAGACUUGGAGAGACUAGAGACUGUAAAAUUUCCCAGCAAACAUUUAGUCUCCCAACACGAGACUUACAGAGACUAAAAACUGGGAAUUUCCCAACAGCUUUAAAAUUUAUCUCUUCAACAAGACCAAACAGUAACAAAAAUUUUAUAAGUAGGGUACGUUUAUCUACGAACAAUAGUGUAUGUACAUAUAAUAAAAUUGGUACUACAUUAGGCAGUAAUAUUUUUACACGUACAAUAUUUUCGUAGGUUGGUGUAAAUUUGUAGGUUUGUGUCCAGAAAAUAAUAUUUUAAAGAUUCAUUCCGAACUGAACCUUCGAAUCGGAUAGUUUGCUUGAAAUAUCAGUGGAUAUCGUGUUGUGUUUCACAGUGUUAAAAAAAUGUUCGUUUUAGUUUUUUGGAUUAAAACCUUGCAAAAGUCUGUUAUUAACGAAAAAGACAUUUGCAUUCCAUCGAGCCCAGACGUUACAGCAGAAGUAGGGGAUAUUGUACUAUAGUGAAAUGGGGAAAAUCGAAGUCUCAAACGAAGAUUCUCCGAUACAUCAGGUCUAAAGAAGAAUUAGAAAAAAUAAAUGUUGGGGAAAGAUGGGAACAUCAUUGAUAAAGCAACAAGAAACUCGAAAAAAAAACAAUUCAACAAAAAUAUUGCAGAGAAAAAAAGUUUUAGUAAAUUCAAACUAUUAUCUCAAAAAGCUUGUAAGCAAACUGAGAAAUAUUAUAAUGAAGAACUUUUAUCGAGUUUACUUGAAAAAAAUUGCGAAGAUAAAGAUAAUUACACAGAUGACGAUGAGAUAGUAGCCGAUACAAUUCGAGAUGACAAUAAAACAUCAGAAAUCGAUGAAAUCAGUAAAUCAUGUUAUAUUUCAGUUUCCGAUAAUAGUAUUAGUACCACGUGCGAACUUUGUUCAUCAUUGCCUGUAACAUUAAUUACUGCAUAGGCUAUCAUGUGUAUGGAACAUGUUUUAAAAUUUUUAAAGACUAUACAUUAUCAGAAAGUAUCUAUUGAAAAAGCAAAUAGUAGUGUAAGUAAUGAGUAAAAUAAUAAUGCAUUAUACUCCUGUAUAAGAAAAUUUAAAUUAAUUUUAAAUGUAAUAUUUAAUAAUAAAAACUAUUAAUAUAAAACUAUAUUGUAUUUUUAAUUAUUUGUAUAAAAAUAUUUUAAGAGUUGAUCCUCAGUCUCUCAUUCAGAGACUUUAAAACAGUCUCGCAGAGUCUCUCAUUAAGAGAUUCUAAAACAGUCUCGCCGAGUCUCUCAUUCGGAGAUUCUAAAACAGUCUCGCCGAGUCUCUCAUUCGGAGAUUCUGAAACAGUCUCGCAGAGUCUCUGAUUCGGAGACUUCUAUUACUUUAAAACAGUCUUCGGAAGUCUCUUCCUGAGAGAUUCGUAGAGAUCGAGUCUCUACGAGUCUCUGUG